UCCCUGGUGGUCCAGUGGUUAGAACCUGGCAUUUUCACUGCUGGGGCCCAGGUUCGAUUCCUGGUUGGGGAA